rnacentral:sRNA from 1 species
ACAACCACACCGUGGCCAGGUGGAGACAUGGCAGACUCAACAGCCGGGAUGCAUGUAGGCGUUCUGGGCUGCUCCUCUCUCAGGAGCUGGAGGGAAAAUGAGCCUCUGGAGUCACUAGGGGGCAGGUGGAGGGUCCAGGGAAACUUUACGGGACUCAAAGGGAGCCAGGGCCAGUGGGGGUUGUCAUGCAGAGGCAGAAUUCAGCUCAGUGAAAGGCAGGGUCUUAUUCUAAGAGCAGUGCAACUCUGACAGGGGCUGCCUUGGAAGUGAUGAGCUCCCUGUGCUGAGGACUGGAAUGCCACGGAGGGACCCUGUUUUAGGAGGAGGCCGGAGUGCAUGGCCUUUCCCCUGAGGUCCCUUCCUGCCCUGAGAAUCCGGGAAAAUAGGUAGGGAGAAAAAAGCAGGGGAUUCUCUAGAAGGUCCCUUUAUCCUGGGCCUGUGAGCCUUAGGCACCACAGUCAGCCUCCCUGAGGCCUCAGAGGACACGCCCUUCCAGGCUAGGACUGUCUCAUUCCCCACUGGGCAUCUGAAUUCUAGCUGUCCUUUCCUGACAGGGCCUGGCAGUUGAGCCUCAGCAGGUUUCCUUCCCUGCUGGCUCCCUGCAGAUGGCCUCCUGGGGUGAGGUUGGGGGUGGGAAGCACAGAGCAGGGACUGUUAAAACCUUCUUUGGACACUUAAGAAGGGUUCCUGGCAUUUUGUGGUCACUGAUAAACACUGUGGCAGGUAGGUGCGGCUGGAGAGGGGUGUGGUAAAGGGAGUGGCCCUGGGCCUCACAGUGAGAGGUACCCUUGCUGGUACCCCUACCUCUUGCCAGAUCUUUACUCGAUCCUGGAACCCCCAUCCCUGUUUGCUCAGACUUGCAGACAAGCUCAGGAAAGUCAAGAGGUGCCGCAGGAGGGUUCUCAGUGGGACAGCCUGGCCAGGGUUGGGGCUGCCUGGCCUAUAGGUUAGGUCACUGUGUGAGCUCUUGGACUGGCACUGGUUAAGCAGGAUUGGCCUCUACUCUCCCACACUCCUUUGGGAGCUGGCAGUGGCUGAGAACAUAAAAGCCUAAGGAUGGCAAGGAUGCUAAGAGCAUUAACUCACAGAUCUCAGGGAGCUUGCUGUUGGGUGGGCAAAGGUCUGGUGUUGCAUGGGGCAGGCUGGGCAUCCAGUAUCUGCUCUCUUCAGUGCCGGCUGCUCCUGGAGUGGUGUUUGUUGGGAGUUGCUGGGUUGGGGUGGAGGGUUGGGGAAGGACUGGGCAGCUGCUGAUGAGAACCUCUGUUUCCUUCCCGGGUACCAGAGGGAAGUCUCAGGUUGCUCUGAAGAUCAUCCGCAACGUGGGCAAGUACCGGGAGGCUGCCCGGCUAGAAAUCAACGUGCUCAAAAAAAUCAAGGAGAAGGACAAAGAAAACAAGUUCCUGUGUGUCUUGAUGUCUGACUGGUUCAACUUCCACGGUCACAUGUGCAUCGCCUUUGAGCUCCUGGGCAAGAACACCUUUGAGUUCCUGAAGGAGAAUAACUUCCAGCCUUACCCCCUACCACAUGUCCGGCACAUGGCCUACCAGCUCUGCCACGCCCUUAGAUUUCUGCAUGAGAAUCAGCUGACCCAUACAGACUUGAAACCAGAGAACAUCCUGUUUGUGAAUUCUGAGUUUGAAACCCUCUACAAUGAGCACAAGAGCUGUGAGGAGAAGUCAGUGAAGAACACCAGCAUCCGAGUGGCUGACUUUGGCAGUGCCACAUUUGACCAUGAGCACCACACAACCAUUGUGGCCACCCGUCACUAUCGCCCGCCUGAGGUGAUCCUUGAGCUGGGCUGGGCACAGCCCUGUGACGUCUGGAGCAUUGGCUGCAUUCUCUUUGAGUACUACCGGGGCUUCACACUCUUCCAGACCCACGAAAACCGAGAGCACCUGGUGAUGAUGGAGAAGAUCCUAGGGCCCAUCCCAUCACACAUGAUCCACCGUACCAGGAAGCAGAAAUAUUUCUACAAAGGGGGCCUAGUUUGGGAUGAGAACAGCUCUGACGGCCGGUAUGUGAAGGAGAACUGCAAACCUCUGAAGAGUUACAUGCUCCAAGACUCCCUGGAGCACGUGCAGCUGUUUGACCUGAUGAGGAGGAUGUUAGAAUUUGACCCUGCCCAGCGCAUCACACUGGCCGAGGCCCUGCUGCACCCCUUCUUUGCUGGCCUGACCCCUGAGGAGCGGUCCUUCCACACCAGCCGCAACCCAAGCAGAUGACAGGCACAGGCCACCGCAUGAGGAGAUGGAGGGCGGGACUGGGCCGCCCAGCCCCUUGACUCCAGCCUCGACCACCAGGCCCCAGGCCAGAGCCACCCAAUGAACAGUGCAAUGUGAAGGAAGGCAGGAGCCUGCAGGGGAGCAGACUUGGUGCCCAGCUGCCAGAAAGCACAGAUUUGACCCAAGCUAUUUAUAUGUUAUAAAGUUAUAAUAAAGUGUUUCUUACUGUUUGU